GACGGAGGAUGCAAGCGUUAUCCGGAAUGAUUGGGCGUAAAGCGUCCGCAGGUGGCAGUUCAAGUCUGCUGUCAAAGACCGGGGCUUAACUUCGGAAAGGCAGUGGAAACUGAACAGCUAGAGUAUGGUAGGGGCAGAGGGAAUUCCUGGUGUAGCGGUGAAAUGCGCAGAUAUCAGGAGGAACACCAGUGGCGAAGGCGGCUCACUGGACUGGUAUUGACGCUGAGGUGCGAAAGCGUGGGGAGCAAACAGG
rnacentral:rRNA from 1 species